rnacentral:SRP_RNA from 1 species
UAUAUAUGUCACUGCAACAUCAGUUGCGAACCGUGUCAGAAUAGAAAUAUAGCAGCACUAAGCAUUAUACUUUUGUGUGUGGUGGCACAAUUUAUU